ensembl:lncRNA
GUCAGUCAGUCAGUCAGUUUCAGCCCAGUCAGUCAGUCAGUUUCAGCCCAGUCAGUCAGUCAGUCAGUUUCAGCCCAGUAAGUCAGUCAGCCAGUUUCUGCCUAGUCAGUCAGUCAGUCCGUUAGUUUCAGCCCAGUCAGUCAGUCAGUCAGUCAGUUUCAGCCCAGUCAGUCAGUCAGUCAGUUUCUGCCCAGUCAGUCAGUCAGUCCGUUUGUUUCUGCCCAGUCAGUCAGUCCGUUAGUUUCAGCCCAGUCAGUCAGUCAGCCAGUUUCAGCCCAGUCAGUCAGUCAGUCAGUUUCAGCCCAGUCAGUCAGUCAGUUUCAGCCCAGUCAGUCAGUCAGUUUCAGCCCAGUCACCCAGUCAGUCAGUCAGUCAGUCAGUUUCAACCAGUCAGUCAGUCAGUAAGUUUCAGCCCAGUCAGUCAGUCAAUCCGUUUCAGCCCAGUCAGUCAGUCAAUCCGUUAGUUUCUGCCCAGUCAGUCAGUCAGUCCGUUAGUUUCAGCCCAGUCAGUCAGUCAGUCCGUUAGUUUCAGCCCAGUCAGUCAGUCAGUCAUUUUCAGCCCAGUCAGUCACUCAGCCAGUUUCUGCCUAGUCAGUCAGUCAGUCAGUUAGUUUCAGCCCAGUCAGUCAGUCAGUCAGUUUCAGCCCAGUCAGUCAGUCAGUUUCAGCCCAGUCAGUCAGUCAGUUUCAGCCCAGUCAGUCAGUCAGUUUCAGCCAAGUCAGUCAGUCAGUCAGUCAGUUUCAGCCCAGUCAGUCAGUCAGUUUCAGCCCAGUCAGUCAGUCAGUCAGUUUCAGCCCAGUAAGUCAGUCAGCCAGUUUCUGCCUAGUCAGUCAGUCAGUCCGUUAGUUUCAGCCCAGUCAGUCAGUCAGUCAGUCAGUUUCAGCCCAGUCAGUCAGUCAGUCAGUUUCUGCCCAGUCAGUCAGUCAGUCCGUUUGUUUCUGCCCAGUCAGUCAGUCCGUUAGUUUCAGCCCAGUCAGUCAGUCAGCCAUUUUCAGCCCAGUCAGUCAGUCAGUCAGUUUCAGCCCAGUCAGUCAGUCAGUUUCAGCCCAGUCAGUCAGUCAGUUUCAGCCCACCCAGUCAGUCAGUCAGUCAGUUUCAGCCCAGUCAGUCAGUCAGCCAGUUUCUGCCUAGUCAGUCAGUCAGUCAGUUUCAGCCCAGUCAGUCAGUCAGUCAGUUUUCAGCCCAGUCAGUCAGCCAGUUUCAGCCCAGUCAGUCAGUCAGUCAGUUUCAGCCCAGUCAGUCAGUCAGUCAGUUUCAGCCCAGUCAGUCAGUCAGUCAGUCAGUCAGCCAGUUUCUUCCCAGUCAGUCAGUCAGUUUCAG